rnacentral:rRNA from 1 species
AUUGAACGCUGGCGGAAUGCUUUACACAUGCAAGUCGAACGGCAGCACGGACUUCGGUCUGGUGGCGAGUGGCGAACGGGUGAGUAAUGUAUCGGAACGUGCCCAGUCGUGGGGGAUAACGUAGUGAAAAUUACGCUAAUACCGCAUACGAUCUAUGGAUGAAAGCGGGGGAUCGCAAGACCUCGCGCGAUUGGAGCGGCCGAUAUCAGAUUAGGUAGUUGGUGGGGUAAAGGCCCACCAAGCCAACGAUCUGUAGCUGGUCUGAGAGGACGACCAGCCACACUGGAACUGAGACACGGUCCAGACUCCUACGGGAGGCAGCAGUGGGGAAUUUUGGACAAUGGGCGAAAGCCUGAUCCAGCCAUUCCGCGUGUAGGAUGAAGGACCUCGGGUUGUAAACUGCUUUUGUACAGAACGAAAAGGUUUCUACUAAUACUAGGAGCUCAUGACGGUACUGUAAGAAUAAGCACCGGCUAACUACGUGCCAGCCGCCGCGGUAA